rnacentral:lncRNA from 1 species
GGCAAUCCAUUCAAUCAAUAUACCAGUGAGCAUAAAUUGUACUAGUGAGAAUAUUAAUCAGUUGUUGAGCCAAUCAAAUACCAUAUGGAAAUUGAAUUAAUUUCUAGAGAAACCAUCAAACCUUCAUCACCAACUCCUACUCACCUCAGAAUUUAUCCACUUUCUUUCAUUGAUAACAUUUUUUUUCGUUUAUAUGUUCCAGUCAUUUUCUUUUACAAUCCAAAUGAGUGUAGUGACCAAAAUUCCAAAGUAUCACUACUUCGAAAAUCUUUAUCUCAACUUUUAUCUAAAUACUACCCUUUUGCUGGCAGAUUAAAAGAUAAAAUUACCAUUGAAUGUAAUGAUCAAGGUGUGUCAUUUUUGGUCACAAAGAUCAAAAACAAACUUUCAGAGAUUCUCAAAAACCCCACAGAUAAAAUAUUGAACCCUUUGUUUCCCGACAAAUUGCAAUGGAAAGACAUGGAUUGGAGCGAUACUUUGAUAGCUGUUCAAAUCAACUGUUUCGCAUGUGGAGGAAUGGCGAUAAGUAUUUGCAUGAGUCACAAAAUUGGUGAUGCGUCAACCAUUUUCAACUUCAUGAAUGAUUGGUCCAUCAUCAACCAAAAAUUACAAGAAGAAGAAGAAGAUAAAGGGUUAUUAGUAUUACCUUUUCCUUUACUUGAUGGAGGAGCUUCUGUUUUUCCACAAAGGGAUUUAACUAUUUUCCCAGAACUUGUGUUAACGAGAAAAAACAAUGUGGUGUGUAAAAGGUUUGUGUUUCAACCCUCAAUGAUCAAGUCCCUUAAGGCAAUGGCAACUUCUAGUUCUAUGCAUUCACCUCCAUCACGUGUACAAGCAGUAACUGCAUGGAUUUAUAAGCGUGCAGUUUCACUAAUGGGAUUAAAUUUCCAGACGGCUUUAUUUAGCAUGGGUGUAGAUCUUCGCAAAAGAAUGGUUCCUGCAUUGUCUGAAAAGUGUGUAGGAAACAUUGUUUGGUUCUCGUCUAUGGUUGCAGAUAAGAAGGAAAUGGAAUUACAUGAGUUGGUAUCCAAAAUAAAAGAAGGGUUAUCGCAGUUUGGUGACUUUAUUCCGGAAACAUUUGGAGCGAAAGAGAAUGAAAACUUGUCAUUAAUAUCUGAGUGCUUGAAACAAGUUACUGAGCCUCAUCCCGAAAAUGAAAAUUUGUUUACUUUUAGUAGCUGGUGUAGGUUUCCAAUGUAUGAAACAAAUUUUGGGUGGGGAAAUCCAACAUGGGUCACCACUUUUGGUUGUUCUUCAAGGAACAUAAUAUUUCUGAUGGAUACAAAAGAUGGAGAAGGGAUUGAAGCUAUUGUGAACAUGGAAGACAAUUACAUGACUAAGUUUGAGCAUGAAGUUGAGCUUCUUCGACAUGCCUCUUUGAAUCCAAGCAAUGUUGGACACGAUGACUAUGUGUUCUCUUCGCAAGCUCUCUCAAUUCCUUCUUAGCAUAUUUGGAUCUAUGUGUAUGAUUUGUGGGUUUGGAUUAAAGAUUCUCAAUAAGUGUUGAAAGAGACUUGUUUAUUUAAGUUAUUAAUUACAUUUUAAUCAUUUUUCUUUCUCUUUUGCACUUGUAAUCUGUUCAUUUUAGUUAAUUUACUAUUGUUUACUUUCUCUAAAUCUGGCUGUUAUAUCUACAUUAAGGGUAUUGCAAUUGUGGAUUCAGUAAUGAUUAGUGUUUAUCUUGUGAAUGAAAAAAUUGCAAUCUCUGGUAUUUUAGCCUAAAAUAUCAUGUCUCCAUAGUAAAUUUUAGUGAUGAUAUUGGUACUGUAAUAACCAUCAGCAGAUAGCUAAUCAAAUUCUUAUCAGUUGUAUUGAUUUUGGUGAUCUGGCCAGAUAUUUUGUACUGCACAGCUACACCUAGCACAACUUGUUCUUUAGCUACUAUUCGUCACCAAUAAUUGAACACUUACUUUAUUUACUUUGACUAAUGACAAAACUCUAGUUAAAAUUCUUAUUCUGGAUACGAGCCGAGUAUAAGUCACAGGUUUGUGUGUAUUUGGGAGAUUGGCAUGUUAUGCCUUGGCUGGAAUGGGGGGUGGUCAAGAUGACAGAGAAGAGAAUUUGGAGAUCAAACUUCCAUAAAGAAAGCUAGAGUAGUUUGGUAUGUGGAUUUGGUAGUAAGUUUCUUAUCAACAUUCUCUAUGAAGUGUUAUCUUGAGAGAGGUUCAAUCUAAAAUCUGAAAAAAUGUUCUAAAAUAGUCUAUAAAUUUCAUUGACUUUGAAAACUUAAUUUCAGGUUCCUAAUAAUAAAAUUUUGAUCUGCAGAAAUAUCGACUCUACUUGAGUAGGCUGCAAAACAAAAAAUAUCAGAAUUCUUCCUCAUAAAGGUGAAUUUGAAUAAAGCAUUUCAAAACACGGGACAUUAAAAUUUCUAUUAGAUAAUUGUAACAAGUGACAUUGUUGAUCCGAAGAUAAGAAAGAGUUCGCAGAUAGGUCUUAAUCAACCUUUUGAAUCUAAGAUUCAGAAGCAAACCAUACUAUUAGAACUGAUACUAGAGAUUCAAUUUCUGUUACAUUAUGUUACAACAGCAGCUCAUAUAGAGGCUUAGUGUGAAACAAGCUCCAUUAGCUAGGUUUUAGAAGUUCUCUAUUGUGAUUAUAUCUCUUGCAUUCAACUCUAGUGAUCAUGUUUCUGCUUUAUUUGUCGGAACAACUUCUCAUGAUGGUAUUAUACUCUCCUUGUAUGUUGAUGAUAUAUGAUUAUUACAAGUAAUGAUGUUGAUGGGAUUGAUGAGUUGAAAUUACAUUUAGCAAAAAUAUUUGAGAUGAAGGAUUUGGUCCCUCAUCGCUACUCUCCUACGGCUUUGUUUGCGAGUUGGGUUUUGGAGGGGAGGGGAAGAGAAGGAAAGGCUUAUGGAGUGUAAACCCUUGUUUGUGAGUUUUAAAAGAACAAGGGAAAGGUUUUGGGGGGGUUUUGAAGGGCUUCAUUUGUCCAAUUUUAAAGUUCCCCUAUAUUGGGGGUUUUAGAAGGUUAAACAUACAAAUUGACAAUUUUGCCCUCUUAAUAAUUCAAAAUUCCAAUUUUAAACAUUACUAAAAUUAUUACAAUCUUUUUUAAGAACAACUUAUUCAAAACAACUUAUAUAUACAAAACAGCUUAUUACGACCUCAUUUUCAAAAACCGCUUAUUCAAAACAACUUAUUUAAACAAAACAGCUUAUUACGACCUCAUUUUCAAAAACAGCUUAUUCAAAACAACUUAUUUAUUCAAAACAGCUUAUUACGACCUCAUUUUCAAAAACCGCUUAUUCCAAACAACUUAUUUAUACAAAACAGCUUAUUACGACCUCAUUUUCAAAAACAGCUUAUUCAAAACAACUUAUUUAUGCAAAACAGCUUAAUACAAUAUCUUUUUCAAAAACAGCUUAUUCAAAACAUCUUAUUUAUACAAAACAGCUUAUUACGACCUCAUUUUUUAAAAACCGUUUAUUCAAAACAACCUAUUUAUACAAAACAGCUUAUUACGACCUCAUUUUCAAAAAUCGCUUAUUUAAAACAACUUAUUUAUGCAAAACAGCUUAAUACGAUCUCUUUUUCAAAAACAACUUAUUCAAAACAGUUUAUUUAUAUAAAACAGCUUGUUACGACCUCAUUUUAAAAAACCGUUUAUUCAAAAAAAACUUAUUUAUACAAAACAACUUAUUACGAAAAAUCGUAUUAAGCUGUUUUGCUUAAAUAAGCUGUUUUGAAUAAGUUGUUUUUGAAAAAGAGGUCGUAAUAAGCUGUUUUGUAUAAAUAAGCUAUUUUGAAUAAGCGAUUUUAGAAAAUGAGGUCAUAUUAAGCUGUUUUGUAUAAAUAAGUUGUUUUGAAUAAGCUGUUUUUGAAAAAGAGAUCGUAUUAAGCUGUUUUGCUUAAAUAAGCUGUUUUGAAUAAGCUGUUUUUGAAAAAGAGGUCGUAAUAAGUUGUUUUGUAUAAAUAAGAUAUUUUGAAUAAGCGGUUUUAGAAAAUGAGAUCGUAUUAAGCUGUUUUGUAUAAAUAAGCUGUUUUGAAUAAGCUGAUUUUUAAAAAAAAAUAGUAAUAAUUUGUUUUUCAUAAGAUAAGCUGUUUUUUAAAAAGAGGCCGUAAUAAGUUGUUUUGUAUAAAUAAGUUGUUUUUAAAAAGUGAUUGUAAUAAGCUUUUUUUUUAUAAAUAAGUUUUUUUGAAUAAGUUUUUUUUUAAAAAAAUAGAUCGUAAUAAUUUGUUUUUCAUGAGAUGAGUUGUUUUGAAUAAAUUAGAAGUUAAAUUAUGAAGUAUAACAAUGUAUUGAUUUUAAGAGGAAAAAGGGUAAAAUAGUAAAAUUAUAACAUAAGCCCUCCAUCUCCUUACCUUAUUGGCUUUUUAGCUUCCAAACAAGGGAAAGGUUUUCCCUCCUUUCUCCCUUCCCUCCCUUUCCUUCCCUUCCCCUCCUUAGCCUUUCCUUUCCUUCCCCUCAAAACUCGCAAACAAAGCCUAAGGGUUAUCUUUUAUCCCAAUCCAAGUACAUUGCCAACAUUCUUGAGCAAAGCUCGACUCUCUGAUACUCAAGCAGUAGAUAGUCCUCUAGAGUUGAACCUGAAAUUUGUUUCCUCCGAUGGAGUUCCUCUUCCAGAUCUCAUUUUGUUAUGUGUUGCAUGUUGUUAGUCAGUUUGUUGUCUCUCCCACUAUAGUGCAUUGGGAAGUCUGCUUCGUAUUCUUCGUUAUCUUCGAGAAGCUCAGUUUCGAAGUCUUUUGUUUCCGUCAUCUUCUUCCAUGGAGUUAUGUGCUUACUUUGAUGCUGAUUGAGCUAGUGAUCCUACUAACCGUAAGUCUAUGACAAGAUUUUGUAUAUUUCUUGGAGAUUCUCUCAUAUCUUGAAAGAGUAAAAAGCAGGAGAUUGUUUCUCGCACUUCUACAGAAGCAGAGUAUUACUCUAUGACAUCAACCAUUACUAAAAUAGUUUGGUUGCAUUGGUUACUUUAUGAUAUUGGUGUCCAUUUGUCUAAACCAACUCCUAUGUAUUGUGAUAUCAAAAGUGUCGAUCAAAUUGCCCACAACUCAAUAUUUCAUGAGCGUAAGAGACGCAUUGGGAUUGAUUGUCACUUCACACGUCACCAUCUUCGAUGUGUCACCAUUACCACUUACUCUAACAUUUGUUUCAUCCUUCUUGCAUAUUGUUGAUUUGCUCACAAAGACACAUUCUAUUAUACACUUUUGUUUUUUAUUGACAAACUAUGGAUGCUCCCUAAUAAUUCAUCGUGAGUUUAAGAAAAAAUGUUAGAUAAUAUUUAUAAAAAUGUUAGAUAAUAUUUAUAUUAUCAUGUUAGAGUGGGUUAGUCUUUUCCCAUCUCAAGUUUAUAUACUCUAUAGAGUACUUGUUUCACUAAAUUUGCUCAUAUGAUUGAAACCUUAAGCUAAAGGUGUUCCUCUUCUUCCUCUAUUUUUCUAUAUGUUUAUCAUUGUUAACACAACACAUUUUCCUCUCUUUUUUCUUCUACUUUAGAAAGAAUAAAAUAACAAAUGGUAUAAAUUUAGGGAGUUGUGUAGCUUAACUAGUUUUAGUUAGUUAAGUUCUUCUAAAGUUAACUAGUUUUCUUCUAAAGUUAGGUACCGUUUAGCUAGUCUUUUUUCUACUUCUCUACAGUUGUAAUGAGAAGUUAGGUCAAACACAAUAUCAAUUAAAUAUUAAGUAAAAAAAUAAUACUUUUUAAAAUGCAUAAAAUUGAAUGAAAAAAACUUUACCAAAAAUUAUCUUUUAAUAUUAUAUUUCAAUAUAUUUUUUUUGCUUUCAUUUAAUUUUAUUCACGUUGGGCACCUCUACGGUAGUACUUUUUGAGGAACCUCUACAAUAGUACUGUUUAAAUCUAAUCUAAUUUUCUUUUCAUUUAAUUCUCGCCAAAACCCUAAACCCUAUAUAUAUAUAUAUAUAGUAGUGUUACACUCCUUGUUUGUCCGUUUGUUUUUUUACUACGCUAAUGCGUAUAAAUUACAAAUAAUGAUUUUUAUGAAAUUUUUAUUUAUUAUAUUAAUUUAUAAUAAAUUUAAAAUUUUUUACAAUAUUUUGUCAAACAACUUUUAACUUAAGAAUAACCUUAGAACCAAAAAAGAUAAAGAAUACCAAACAACUUUCACUUCUUUCCUAAAAUCGUUACUUUUAACUUUGUUUUACAAGUAAUUUUAAACUAUAAAAAAACCAGGCCAAACAAUGCCAAAAUUAAUCUUAAAGCUCAUUUGUGUCAUUUUUUAGUGUAAUUAUUAAGCUUAUUUUCAUUUUAAAAGCUUGUAAAAAAUAUGUUUAGCCAAGCUAAAAAAAAGGCUGAGCUAAACACUACCUUAGUGUGUGUAAAUAUUGAUCGUCGUAUGUGCUCGUGAUAUUAGCUUAGUUGGCAAGGACAAUACAUAAUACAUCCUCCGGUCAUUAUCAUAAGCAAAACUUUGCAUUUUAGAUUCAUUCAAUUAAUGAUGUAUGUUGUUUAUAAUAAAGACUAUAUACAUCAUUAAUUGAAUGAAUGUAAAAUGCAAAAUUUUACUUAUAAUAGUGACCAGGUUCAAACCCGACCACCAUAAAAAUUUAAUUUAAUUAAUUAUUUUACAACAAAUCUGAAUUAACGCACACGAAGCUGAAUGAUACCGAAACACAAAUGCCAACGCGCAAAAUAUUCAUUCAUCCAGGUCUUCUUUUUUAUUUUUUAUAAAGUCCAGAUCUAUUUAUUUGUUUAUUAAACGCGAUAUACACGCCUUCACACUUCAAAAUAUAUAUAUAUUUUACUUCAAAUUAAAAACAUUAAGAAGUGAGUUGCAAUUUACAUUCAUUUGAUUUUAAUUAAAAAGUCAUAUUUUAUUAUCUUGAUUUUGAUUAAAAAAGUCAUAUACUAUUAUCUUAAACUAGUCAUUCUAUAUUUAUUUAUUUUUGGUAGAAAGUCAUUCUAUAUUUGAUAUUAAGAAGUGAGUUGCAAUUUAUAUACAUAUUUUAUCUUAAUUUUUUUUAACGUGUUUGCGUGAAUAAGAAAAAUUCAACAAGGAUUGAAUUUCGAAUAUGUUGAAAGAUUUGUAAGAUAUUAUUUGAAAUUCAAACAUGUAAUAUUUAUUUCUGUUUCUCAAAAAGUUCUUUUAAUUUAUUAGGCAGAAUAUUGGCUUGAUUCAGUGAAAUUUCUCAUGUAAGAUUGAUACAUGAUUCUUGGGGCUUUGAUACAUGUGUUCCCAACACUUUUCUUUUAAUAAAGGUUCUCUUUUUCGUUUCUAAAUACAUGUCAUUGUCAACUACUUUACACAUGUUAAUGCACAAUUUUGAGUAUUAAUAUAUUUAAUUAUUUAUAAUAAAAAAUUAUAUAAAGUUGAUAUUUUAAGAAUAUUCAUCGAGAUAAAUCAAAAAAUAUUUUAUAUAUUAACAUUUAUCUUUAUAUAUUAAUAAAAAAUUAUGAUAAAAAUAAAUUAUGUGAAUAGUGCACAUAUCAAAUUGUGACAUGUAUUCAAUCUAUUCAUUUUUGUUAAUUAAUUAAUUAUAUUGUUUAAUUUUUCUUUUGAAAGUCAAAUUCAAAAUAAACCACAAUGUGGCAAUCACACUCACACUCACACGUAUUAACCCAAAGCCCUUGUGCCUAAUCCAAUCAAAAAAAUUCUAGCAAAUUUGCACAUAUUAAGAAGUUUAAUAUAGUAAAUUUGUAUUAAAAUUUGUGUAUUUUAUAUUGAGUUUAUAAAUUUUAUUGAGUUUGAAAACUUUCAGGUUCCAAAUAAUAAAAUUUUGCUCUUCAGAAAUAUCGACUCUACUUGAGUAGAUUGCAAAAGGAAAAUUAUCAAAAUUCUUCCUCAUGAAGGUGAAUUUGAAUAAAGCAUUUAAAUUUACCUUCAAAAGACCGGACAUUAAAACUUCUAUGGAUACUUACAAGUCAUAGUGGUGAUCUCAAGAGAAUUGUGACAAGUGACAUUCUUGAUCCAAAGAAAAGAUAGAGUUCACAGAUAGGUUUUAAUCAACCUUUUGAAUAUGUAGAUUCAGAAGCAAACCAUACAGUAUUUAGAGACAUUAAAGUGUAUAAAAAUGGACAACUUCAAUCACUCAAUUCGUCAUGCAACAAUUACCCUAAUUCAUAACUAAAAUUCCUAAACCCAAUUAUAUAAACCCUUGUCCCAAAAUAACGACGAAUGUGGGAGGGUAACCCACCCCUAAUUCUAGGUUGGAGAUGAUGAUUCAAGCUUGCAAUUUAUUUUUUUUUUGCUCCUAAUCUCUUCCCUUUAAAAUUGAGUGCAAAUAUAAGUUUAAAAUGGUUGUUUACGAGGAUUUUGUUUUUAUAUCUUGACCAUGUUAUGCUCAUGUUUGUGGCCUUUUUUUUUUUUAUAAAUUUUUUGCAUUUAUUUAUUUAUGGUGCAGUAAGCUAGCAACCAAAAUCUGAAAUGGAAACAUCCUCUCAAUGUUUGUAUUGGGGAUCUUUUUUUCCCUCUCAGGUUGCCUACAUGAAGGUGCAGUUAAUGCUUUUGAAGAUGUUGCUGGCAAAAGUUUUAAUCACUUUUCAGCUUUAGAGAUGGAGUAUUCUUUCUAUUAACUUGGCCUUUUAAACAUUUCCUAAGCUCUAUUGUAUUAUCAUUUUUGGCCCUUCCCAUGAGCAUUACUUAUGCUUAAGCUUAAGAUAUCAAGAAUGAAUAGAACAUGUGAAAAUAAAUUCAAAUAAUAUAUGCAUGUUUCUAAAGCAUUGUAAUAAAUAAAUCAAAUAGAUUCUCAUAAAAAAAAACAAGUUCAAAUAAAUAUGAAGUAACGCACACUAAAGUUGAAUGUAUAUAUUUAUUAUUUAUAUUAGUACUUUGUUUAACGUAUCUUUUUUCUUCAAAAUAUUAACACGUUGGUGAGAUGUGCGGUAUACGUGUAUUCAUAUUCAUACUAUUGCUCCCUCAAAAAAAUAUUCAUACUAUUGUUUAUUGUAUUGUAAUAGCUUAUAAGCAAAUUCAUCCACUAUAUAAACUCUUGUGCUAAUGUCAAGGCAAUGCAUUCUUGAUAGCUUAAACACUAGUGAGGAUAUCAAUUGAAUUAUAUAUAUAUAUAUAUCAGCUUGAGAGGCAUUUUAUUACCAUGGAAAUUGAAUUAAUUUCUAGAGAAACCAUCAAACCUUCAUCACCAACUCCUUCUCACCUCAAAAUAUACCCACUUUCUUUCAUAGACAACAUUUUGAUGCGUAACUAUGUGCCAUUACUUUACUUUUACAAACCAAACAAAGAUAGUGACCAAAAUGU